rnacentral:rRNA from 1 species
AGCAGCCGCGGUAAUUCCAGCUCCAAUAGCGUAUAUUAAAGUUGUUGCAGUUAAAAAGCUCGUAGUUGAAUUUCGGAAUUUGUCGGUUGGUCGGGCUUCACUGUCCGCACUGGCCUGGUGGAUUCCUACCUUCUGAAUAACCAGCAUGCUAUUAAGUUAGUGCGUUGGGGAAGCAGAGCUAUUACCUUGAAAAAAUUAGAGUGCUUAAAGCAGGCUUUUGCUUGAAUAGAUUAGCAUGGAAUAAUAAAAUAGGACGGCAUGGUUCUAUUUUAUUGGUUUCUAGGAUCACCGUAAUGAUUAAUAGGGAUAGUUGGGGGCAUUAGUAUUCAAUUGUCAGAGGUGAAAUUCUUGGAUUUAUUGAAGACUAACUUCUGCGAAAGCAUUUGCCAAGGAUGUUUUCAUUAAUCAAGAACGAAAGUUAGGGGAUCGAAGACGAUCAGAUACCGUCGUAGUCUUAACCAUAAACUAUGCCGACUAGGGAUCGGGCGAUGUUAAUUUUUAAUGACUCGUUCGGCGCCGU